UCCAGGCCUAGUGCAGAGGGCGGAAGUGGAUCCCGGGUCAGCCGGGAGAUUCAAAGAGUGAGAGCAGGAUCAGAGGUCCAGGAUAGCCAAAGUGACUUUACUUCUGAGCUGAAGAGGCAGAACCAUGGUAGCAGGGAGACCUUCCCAUUCUCCACACUCCCCGUGACCUCUUCUCAACUCCGUGAGAAGUCAGUCUCCUGGAGACUCCGUCUUCCUUUGGCGACCUACUUGACCUUCGGUGAAGCAACUUUUAUAGUCCACUGUAUCUGAGGAUCAUUUAUUUAUUCAUUCCUGCAUGAUCAUCUGUGAGCACAAAUGACUGCUAGCUGUUCAAGUUUUCUUUCGUGUUCUGAGUUUCCAGGACAGCAAUGUCAAUGACAACCUUUCAAAAGGGUGUAAGGAGCUUUCAAAAGGUCAAGUCCUUCGAGCCGGAUUCGAACCAGCGACCUAAGGAUAACCACGUUCAACACCUACAGUCCUCCGCUCUACCAACUGAGCUACCGAAGGAACUAAAGGCCCCUAUUUUAGAAUGCUUUAAAUAAUGUUUAUCCUAAUGGUUUUUGUUAUGACCAGAAUUUUAUUUAAAAACUAGAGGCAAACGUGAAGUUUUCCAGGGUCUUGGAAAUAUUCUAAAACUGAUAUGAGUAGUGACUACAGAAGUAUAUUUAAAAAUUAAUGCCCUUCCUUGAACACUAAAGAUUUGUGCUUUGGUUUGUUGUCCUGCUUCCUUGGGUGUAAUACAGUGUCUGGUGUCAGAGCUACCCUUCUCUAUCCUGCUCCAGACCCAAGCUCAGAACAGAUCUCCGGAAUCUAUUUCCCUCAUGUCUGACCUACUGAAGACAACCUCAAGUUCUUACAACUGGAACAAAUGAUUUCCAUUUCUUGAUGAACUUAUGAAGAGCCAAAGCAUAGGUAGGUAUGACUGAGGUUUCUUUUUAUGUUCACUCUUCCUCUUCUGGAGUCAACUGGCUGUUUCUACGGAGGUGGUGGAGCUGCUGCCACCACUGACACUGGAAUAUUGCAGAAUAUGGUCCAGUCAUGGGAGGGAAAUUGAAAUCCUUGGUGCCUUGGCGAGAAGCUCAGUCUAGGACUAACUUUGCAUCUAAGGCCCAAAUGUUAUCUCGGAAAAGAAAAUUGGACCAUUUUCCUUGUUUAAUCUUUUGCCCUCAAUUCGCUUUCAAAGAGCAAGGGAGCUACCAGUUUAGACCACUUUCCAGACCUUAAUACGAGUAGUUUCCAAUGUGUUUUAGGCAGUGGCUUUCAAACCACUAACUGAGUUUGAGAGUGGCUAAUUCAACAAGCCUGGGCUUUAGGUUCUGUGUUAAGCCUCCAGGUGGUUCUGAUACACACCAAAGUUUGAGAAUCGCUUAAAGAAUAAAAGUUGUGAAGCAUGGGAAGGAAAAUACAAGAAAUUGCCAGGCACAAAAUCCUUAGACAAUUCUUCAUUAUUUUGGUUUUAUAUCUUCGUAGUUGAGAACUCUUCCGUAGAUAAUCAGGAUCUCACUAUUCAGACAGAGUAGAAGUGGGGUUAAUACAUUUUAAUGAGAUUGGCUCUAAAUUGGCAAAUACUUUCUAUUGUUAAGAGAGAACUCUACCUCUUGAGCUAAUUCCCAAAGUGGGUAAAAAAUUCCAUCAGUUUUCCCAUUGUCUAUUUUUUUUUUCUAAAAGUUUUCUCUUCUGUAGUGGUUCUCGAACCUUGCAACACAUUAAAAAUCACCUGGGAGCUUUUACAGCUACUAGUCCGGGGUCCCACCUCCAAAUUGGCGCAAGUAUAGGCGCUUUGUGAAAUAGCCCCAGGUGAUUCUGACAUGCACCCACUUUUCUCAGCCAUGGUUGAGAACCAUCUUUACAUAAUUAAACGGAGAAUGGGGAGUAGUGCCAGGAGCUGUGGGUGGCUGUCAGUAAUUGAGCAUCCGCCUGGGGAAAAAAACAAAAACCUUCGGAGAGACUCAGGACUCUAAAACCACCAGAGGGCGCGCGUGGCCCACCAAUUACUAUCCGUUGGUGAGCGUUAUUCCUACCAGGCCGCCCCUCCCAACGUCGUACGAACCCAAGUGGUGUGGCGACUUGUCUCUGGGCUCCUAGCUUAGUGGACCAUCUCUGGUCGCCUUGUCAGAGCUUGGGACUUCUCUGAGGCACCAGCUCUUUAUGAACUAUAGGAGUGAUGCUUGAUUGCGCGUAUUAGUAAUUCCUACGGAGAAUAAUAAUUUUGAAAAUUAGAUUCGCUGCACAAUGAGAUUAGUCUUGAACAGACGUACAGUGAGAAUAUAUGUAAUUGAGGAUAUAUGUAAUUGCCUCAGAUCUUUUUAAAGGUGGAGAUGGGAUUGGGGGGAACCACAAAACGGAAAAAAAUAAACAAAAAACGCGAACUCCUUCGAGCCGGAUUCGAACCAGCGACCUAAGGAUGCCUGAACGCUUCCUCUACAGUCCUCCGCUCUACCAACUGAGCUAUCGAAGGAAUCACACGCUCGUAGUUCCCCGCAGACGAUGCCAUCUCUGCGCGAGGUUGGGAGACCUUUGGUGUUUGCUGUUUUACUCACUUUUAUUUGAUAGGUCUGUUCUAGUCGCCUCUACGUGUUUUGUAAUCCGGCAUCCCUUCACAGGACCACCGCCCUGGACCAAGGAGAAAACGGUAGCACCCACUGGUUUGCAAAAGGAAAACAAAAUAAUGAGGCACGAGGAAUUGAAAAAAAUUUAGCAAUGAGUGUCUUACCGUGGUGAAUGAAUUUAAAUGACCAGUUUUAAACAGGAUUUGGAGUACUUUAAUUUGUAAUUUGAACAGCUAAUUAGAGAAGGAGAGGAAGAAGGAAACAAGCAUAGGGUUAAACUCAUCAAAGCCAUAUGGAAAAUUUGUUAGUUGAUAUUAGUCCCUGUAGAUAAACCAGACUGUCCCACUAAUUCUAAACUCAGCAAAAACCUGUCGAUGAGGAGCUAAAACAAUAUUUUAAAAAUUAUCUAUCUGAAUACAAGGUGUCCCCUUGUGCAAGUAGAACAUUGAGACCAGCAUUCACUCAUCUAUGCUUUUCAAAAAGGAAAAUGCAUGACUCACACAAAUGUAAAAAAAUACUUGUCAAAAGAUUUAUUUAACUCAUUAAUGAGAACCCCAAAAGGAUGGUAAAACUGGUUCAAGUUAUUUACAGUCACUGAGAGAAGGAAUGCUGUAGUUAACAUUGCUAAAUGAGAUAUAGAAGUGGAAAAUUCCCCGCAAGGCAAUAAAACUGUUACUUUUUCUACAGGGCAGAAAACAACUACAUCUUUAUCAAAGUUUCAACUGCACCAUUAUUAUUAUAUACAUUUACUCUUACAGGGUUGAAAAUACCCUAAUCAAUAAACAGUUAAAACAAAGGUACUGACUAAUAAAGCAGGCAAUCCCCCUCCACCCCCCGAAGACAUUUGACAAUAUGAGGAAAUAAUUUUGAUUGUCACAAUUGAGGAGGUGCUACUAGCAUGUAAUGGGCAAAGGCAAGGAAUGUUACUAAACAUCCUACAAUGCACAGGACAGGCCUGACAAUAGAGAAUUAUCUAGUCCAAAAUGUCAAUAUUUGAGGUUAAGAAACCAUGCCCUAGAGAAUAAAAAUAUUUCUUGGACAGAUCUCUUUUAAAAUUCUGUAGGAUCGUCUAGGGUGACAAUGAAAAGAUAUGAAGCCCUUUUUUGGUUUUGGUUUUGGUUUGUUUGGCUAGUUGGUUUAUUUUUGCCUAUUUCCAAGUUUCAGAUUUGUUUUUUAAAUCUAAAGGCCGAAAAGUCUGGCAAAUACAAUAAAUUUAUAUUUUGAAGUUACUAUAAAGUUUUGAAGUUAUUAUAAAUGAAGUUUAUUCUAUUUUUUAUCCUUUGAAGUAUUUAAAAAAUGUGAUACGUACUUUUCAUAAUCUGUCACUCUCCAUCUACAACUUUCCCUAAUCAUUCAUAUUCAUUUUUCUAAAGCUCUGAGUUUUAAAAACCAUCUUAGUAUUUUCUAAAUCUCUUAAUUUCUACAACUACCACCUCAUUUAGACCUCUUCUCCACAGGAUUGUGGAAUGGAUCGUGUCUGACAGUGAGAAAUUGUAAUAGGGAAAAACAUAUUUGACUCCAUAUUGGAUCUGUUUCUCCUAAUUUUAAUCUUUGUUCAUUGCUUUUGCUACAAGUUAAGAAUUUUUGUCUGAAAUACACAGGAUAGCCCAUUCUCAAGGUUCUGAGCUUUAAAGGUGUAACACUUCUCCAUUUAUAUAGAGAAUAAAAAGUGAAGAACAGAGAAUAAUAUUUGUCUUGCUGGAGGUUUACAGGAACAUCAUGACCUCACCUCCAUGGACAACUGCAAACAAUGGAUUCUGACAUCAAGAGUUUGC